GAUCGUGAGAGGUGAACGACGCGGCGCAUCCACGAGACCGGGCCAAAGAGGCUUCUGGCUCGUAGCUGGCAAUGUUUGAAGUGCCGUCGCCGGAAGCUUACAAACACCGACUCCGUGUUGUGACAUCGUAUUAUGCCAAGCGAAACUUACGAUCUCGCUAGAUCGUUAAUUUGCGAUCCGGUUUUACGACGUCUAGUUUGCACUGAGCCACCAGUGUACUUGGCGAAAAUUCGUUAAACAACCGAUACCUUGAGGUAGUACAUUCUUUUCAAUAUUUAUCAUACCAUAUUACUUUUUUCAAAGCAAAUCCUUCUAAAUAAACUAUUUGUAUUAAUCAAUUGUAUAUACAAUUCAGAGAACGACAUAAAGAAACCGAUCGGAAAUUUUCAUGGAAGAAGAUCCUUCUCCCUAACUCAUAUACCUGACCAAAUAAAAGGGCGUGUCGUUGACCUAGGGAUUAAAACCGAUUGGGCAUACAAUCUGCUCGACACUGAGCUCAUAAUUAUUUCUAUAGUGGCGCUAGAGCUGUCAAGUGCGGCUUGCAAACGCAGCAAGAUAUACAGGCACUGUGUCGGACAUACUGCAGAAGUGCAUCAACGGUUGACACUGAGAAACGUCCUCGAGAAAUCCGUCGGGUCGGCUAGCUGGGACACGUGGCCACCUCGUUAAUUCGCUAGACAGCCAUUAAAUUAAGCUUCUCGGCCUCUGUCGCCACCGAUGAAUGCUUUGAACGAGUGAAAAAAGGGAAUCAGCAUAGCCAUGCGAUGGAUUCUUCAAAGGGUGGAGACUUUAGGAUGCUUAGAUAGAUUAAUACCGGUAUACUUGCUGGUAGAAAUAUAUGGAGAGUUUGUUGAGGCUCUACCAAAUGAAAAGAAGUGAUAUAUCCUGCAUUGAAGAUGUUAAUCGCUCACUGUAUUACAAGAUUCAUGAUCUCCUUAUGUCCUUAAAAGUUUAGGAAGUGGUAAUGAUAAUUUUUCAGUUAUGGAAAAUGUAGAUACUUGUACUUAAAGACUGAAGAGAAUCCUUGUUGCUUCGCAAACAAACAAACAAACAGAAGAGGAUUUAUUGUUUCUGAUGAUUUAGCUUGUUUGCACUUCAACACCAAUAAAGGUAGGGGGCCUAUAAAUCACUCCUGUAAACCAGCAGAUGAAUGACUUUAGGCUCUAAGGAUAAAUUCUGAUAAACUUAUUGCUAGCUUUAUGUUUAAAUUGUAUUAUUGAAACAUUGAGUUGUCAAACAAUCAAACAUGCACUUGAUCAUACUGAAAGAGUGAUAACUUAUGGAUUUUAGAAGCAAUAAAGUGCGAUUUUUAACAAACAAUAAAAGCUGUUAAUCAAGUGCACGAACAUUCAGCAAUAGAAACCAGGCUGUGAAAGAAGAGAAGAGAUCAGCAUAGGUCGACGACGUGAGAGGCAACUUCUCUUAUCAUUGACUUGAUAAAAGUUCCUCUGCUUUUCCUCCAGCUUAUCAGCUGUUCGUUUAUUUUCAAUAACUAGUUCGCAUGUCUGCCCCAAAAUAAUCGUCGCAUCACCCUCUAAUAAUCGUAUUCUGAUUUCGAUAUUGGUUUAAUUUAAGUCAGCACGGAGUAUGCUCGUACAACUGGCCUGGUUUAGCCCGUCAGCCAUAGUAAGAAGAGCUUCUAUCGAUUUCUCCAGUUCGCUUUGUAAAUCUAAACCACGUCCAACCGAUCCGCGGACUCAAUCAGAGACCUAACAUCUUCUCCACCGACGUCUACCAACGAAAUAACCGGAACCCCUGUUCGUGACAAAUGUAGCGAGAUCUCUCCGAUGCUCCUGAACGAUUCCCAACGUAGAGACUCGUGUUUGAAGCUCAAAGCCGCCGAUGCGAUGGGACAAGGAGUUUGACACGGCUCUGGAAGGGAAUGUUGACGAGUGAGCAACAGCUGAGCACUUAGCCGAGCACGAGGAAAGGGAGUAUAUCCCGGGGGAGUCGUUGAGACUUCCGGCGGCCGCCGACAGAGAAUCCUGGAUACGUCCUCCGGCGGAUAUCUCGUAAAUUUUGACAAUAAGAGGGUAUACGCGACCCGUCGAACUCAUUUAUUUUAAGAGUGAAUGUACAUUAGGAGCUACUCAUAUCGCUUUAUCGCUGAAUGAGCUCAUUAGCCGUGUAUCAGCAUCAAACCGCGUGUAAUUUCGCUGAUUAUUCAUUUUAAUGCUAAUCGAGGCCGUUUUUUUCGUUAACAAUUAAGCACUUCUACUGGGAAAUGACUAAGAAAUUUAUUGAUUUAUACGUCCCAUGACGUAUUCAGAUAUGUUUACGAACAUCAUGGAUAAAUAUUUUGAUCUGUAGGAGAGAUCUAAAUAUUAUAAAAUGUAAAGCUAUGUACAGACAUUGCGUGGCAGAAGCACGAGACUGCCUCGCGAGGCGUGCAUUUCACUGUUUGUACAUAACUGAAACUGUUAAGAACCUUUGAUCUCGCUAAAAAGCUGACAAACAUCUUGAAACAUUUUACUGAAUUGAUAUAGCUAUUAAUUGAUUUUGUUAAAAAAAGAAAUAAUUAUGCAACGGUGGAAUGUACAAGCUAAGCCUCAAUAGGGAGAAAAUUAAUUGUUAUACCUACAUCAAAUUUAAUGAACAAGUGGUUGUGAAAUCUCUGACUAAAAAUCGAGCAUCUAUUAAUUAAUUUUGUUUAAAAAGAAAUAUCCAUGUAUGUAGCGAUAGAAUGUGUAAAUCCCAAUAGGAACAAACAAAUAAUUGAUAUGUAGGAAGUUUAAUGAAAUCAGAGAAUUAAUUUAGCAUCGAAUGAUUUUGCUGUUGAAAUCCCUUAAGAUUGGCGUAUGUUAAUUGAUCCCUGAUUUAUGGAGGUGCAGACGACUGUUUUGACGUAAUUAGAAGAUCCUCUUAUCUCCUUUGGCAGAAGGAAGAGCCAUUUAUCUGCUUGUUUACUAAACACCGCGUUAAGUUCAUAGGAAUUUUGCUGAUCGCGGAAUCAAGUUUACAAACUCGUUCCUGGCCACGGUCUUCUAGAUAUUUCAAUAAUAAUAAUAUGUCACGAAAUCUACCUUUUUAUUUUCACUCGCGUAUUGUGAUAGUAAACCAUCUCAUUCAUGAGAUUCAUGAUCAUAAACGUUUAGUAUGAAUUGAAAUGUUAGAUCAAUGAUGACCCAGAGCUUCUAGAGGUGAACUUUGCACAUGACGUAAAAGACCACGUCGUUAAUGUCCGACGGCACCGCCAGGUUUAGAGGAAUCUAAUUCUGAUUUUUCUGAUG